rnacentral:sRNA from 1 species
GGAGGCGCCGCGUAGGCCCGGGAGGCCGGGCCGGCCGGGCUGCGAGCGCCUGCCCCAUGCGCCGCCGCCUCUCCGCACGAUGUUCCCCUCGCGGAGGAAAGCGGUGCAGCUGCCCUGGGAGGACGGCAGCUCAGCUGCUCUGGUGACGUGGCCCGGGCAGUCAGGGGACAAGGGCAGGAGACCUCGGGCCCUCCCCAGGCCUGCCCCCCAGAGCCGCCCCCUGAGCACUGGGAAGAUGCAUCCUGGGGCCCCCACCGCCUGGCAGUGCUGGUGCCCUUCCGCGAACGCUUCGAGGAGCUCCUGGUCUUUGUGCCCCACAUGCACCGCUUCCUGAGCAGGAAGAAGAUCCAGCACCACAUCUACGUGCUUAACCAGGUGGACCACUUCAGGUUCAACCGGGCAGCGCUCAUCAACGUGGGCUUCCUGGAGAGCAGCAACAGCACGGACUACAUUGCCAUGCACGACGUUGACCUGCUCCCUCUCAACGAGGAGCUGGACUAUGGCUUUCCUGAGGCUGGGCCCUUCCACGUGGCCUCCCCGGAGCUCCACCCUCUCUACCACUACAAGACCUAUGUCGGCGGCAUCCUGCUGCUCUCCAAGCAGCACUACCAGCUGGUGAGGCCCGGACAGCCUGCUCUGCUCAGCCGGGAGCUCCCUCCAGGCGGCAGGUGGUGGGAAGGAUGGGGCAGUACCUCUGGGGCCCAGCAGAUGGAGCCCUGCCCUGGCCUAGCAGGAGGACUUAGGAGCAGCAAGAGUGCGAAGAGCAGGCGAGCCAGUCAGCCGCAGCAGCAGAACUGCUUGCAAGCUGGCUUCAGAAACUUGGGUGGUUAGUGGCCCUUAACAUUGAAGAGUGUAGGGGCGGUUCAGGUGCACCUUGCCCACCUCUCAGCCAGUGUCACCAGGACCCUGUUUCUCUGUCCAUCUCCCAGCUCUCCUUCCCUGCACUGGGUUUAUUGGCAAGGUGGUGGUUGUCACUGCAGUCUGUAUCCAUCUAGGCCCCGGUCUGGCGGGAGAUGGGGCCCUUCCCUCCUAGCUCAGGCAGGAGUCCAGCAGUGAGCUGCACUGGCUCUUGAUUGGCCAGCUUGAGUGCUGAGCCCACCCCUUAGCCAGUCACUGGCUGGUGGACGGGCAGGCAGGAAGAACCACGUGGCUCAGGCCUGGGUCUCCUCCUCUCCAGGCCAUGCAGGAGCCACCUUUAUGUAAAUGAAGCCCCUGAGCCAGGUGCAAGAAUGGGUGUCUGUCAUGGAACCCUACUACCCCGCUCACACACACAGGAAGAGAUGAGGGCAGGGCCACG